AAAGCGUGCGCAGGCGGUUAUAUAAGACAGAUGUGAAAUCCCCGGGCUCAACCUGGGAACUGCAUUUGUGACUGUAUAGCUGGAGUGCGGCAGAGGGGGAUGGAAUUCCGCGUGUAGCAGUGAAAUGCGUAGAUAUGCGGAGGAACACCGAUGGCGAAGGCAAUCCCCUGGGCCUGCACUGACGCUCAUGCACGAAAGCGUGGGGAGCAAACAGGAUUAGAUAGCCUUGU
rnacentral:rRNA from 1 species